rnacentral:tRNA from 1 species
AGUUAAUGAACUUGAAUAAGUAUAUAUUUUGAAAAUAUAAAAAAGAAAUUACAUUUUCUAUUAACUU